GGCAAGACUGGACACUGGACAGCCAUUCAGAGAUGGAAGAGUCUGCCAACGCAUUCGUGCCUGAUGUUGCCAUUGAACGUUUUGACAACUUUUUGCAUAAAGACAAGAUCAUCGAAGGAAUAAAAGACAUGCUAUUGUUGGCGAGAGCUGUUCACCAUCGUACCAUCAUGAAAUCAAAUUGAAUUACGUUCAAGAUGAACGGAUUGAAGUCUCAACGCCUGCAUCAAGCUUCAUCUAACGACGUAUUAAAGAUUAUAAGGCCAUCAGCAAAACCAGGCAGAACAAGAAGUCACAUUCAUGGGGACAAACGCGGAACGGGAAGGCGGAUCUCAAGUCGAUCGGGCAAUAUGUCGGCUUCCCACAUGAUACCGGAGACCAAACAGACGCCGGCGGCUGCCGGGGACCAGAAUCCCACACAGUCUGGGACUCAAGAUGAAUGACCUUAUCGUGAAACUGCGUCUGGAAACGUGGGCCUCGGCUCUGUUGUUGCACGGGCAAAACGCGGCCAUUGUCUCGGCCUUCUCCUGUUCUUCUCCCCGCCACCCUGCGGUCCAGCUCGGAUUUCUUUUCAAGGAUAUUUUAUCGUCCGAGUA